UACGUAGGGUGCAAGCGUUGUCCGGAAUUAUUGGGCGUAAAGAGCUCGUAGGCGGUUUGUCGCGUCUGCUGUGAAAACGCGAGGCUCAACCUCGCGCCUGGCAGUGGGUACGGGCAGACUAGAGUGCGGUAGGGGAGAUUGGAAUUCCUGGUGUAGCGGUGAAAUGCGUAGAGAUCCGGAGGAACACCCGUGGCGAAGGCGCCCCCUGGGCCGCGCCUGACGCUGAGACGCGAAAGCGCGGGGAGCGACGGU
rnacentral:rRNA from 1 species